rnacentral:rRNA from 1 species
CGUAGGUGACAAUGUUAUCCGGAAUCACUGGGCGUAAAGGGUCUGUAGGCGGUUACUUAGGUCUGAUGUGACACCUCUCGGCUUAACUGGGAGAGCGCAUUGGAACCGGGUGACUAGAAUCACGUCGAGGUCGGUGGAAUUCCCGGUGUAGUGGUGGAAUGCGUAGAGAUCGGGAGGAACCUCGAAAGCGAAGGCAGCCGGCUAGACGAUGAUUGACGCUGAGGGACGAUAGCGUGGGUAGCAAACAGGAUU